rnacentral:rRNA from 1 species
AAUAGAUACCCGGGUAGUCCACGCCGUAAACGAUGAGUGCUAAGUGUUAGGGGGUUUCCGCCCCUUAGUGCUGCAGCUAACGCAUUAAGCACUCCGCCUGGGGAGUACGGUCGCAAGACUGAAACUCAAAGGAAUUGACGGGGGCCCGCACAAGCGGUGGAGCAUGUGGUUUAAUUCGAAGCAACGCGAAGAACCUUACCAGGUCUUGACAUCCCGCUGACCGUUCUAGAGAUAGAUCUUUCCCUUCGGGGACAGCGGUGACAGGUGGUGCAUGGUUGUCGUCAGCUCGUGUCGUGAGAUGUUGGGUUAAGUCCCGCAACGAGCGCAACCCUUGAUCUUAGUUGCCAGCAUUCAGUUGGGCACUCUAAGGUGACUGCCGGUGAUAAACCGGAGGAAGGUGGGGAUGACGUCAAAUCAUCAUGCCCCUUAUGACCUGGGCUACACACGUGCUACAAUGGACGGUACAGAGGGUCGCAACCCCGCGAGGGUGAGCUAAUCCCAUAAAACCGUUCUCAGUUCGGAUUGUAGG